GGGAGCGAUCAUACCAACACUAAUGCACCGGAUCCCAUCAGAACUCCGAAGUUAAGUGUGCUUGGGCGAGAGUAGUACUAGGAUGGGUGACCUCCUGGGAAGUCCUCGUGUUGCACCCC
rnacentral:rRNA from 1 species